GCAUGGGCGCAAGCCUGACAGAGCAAUACCGCGUGAGGGAUGACGGCCUACGGGUUGUAAACCUCUUUUCUCAAGGAGGAAGAACUGACGUUACUUGAGGAAUAAGCAUCGGCUAACCCUGUGCCAGCAGCCGCGGUAAUACGAGGUGCCGCGGUAAUACGAUACG
rnacentral:rRNA from 1 species